rnacentral:lncRNA from 1 species
AGAUGGUUCAGUGGAUAAAGCUCUGAGUCUGGAGUCAGAAAGAUCUGAGUUCAAAUUCAGCCUCAGAUUCUUACCAUCUGUGUAACCUUAGGCAAGUCACUCAAGCUCUAUUUGCCUUAAUCCAUUGGAGAAGGAAACAGAAAAUUGCUACAGAAUCUUUGCAAAGGAAACCUCAUGGACCAUUCAUGGAGGAAGUUUCAGAAGGAUUAACUCUGGAGUAAUUACAGCUCACAGCAGUCAGCGGAAUCUGCUGGGGAGCUCAGUGUUUUUCGAUUUCAAUUAAACUGGUCACUUCAGACUCUGCUUUCAGGAUGCAAACAAAUCCCAGGCUCCUCAGAGAGGAAAAGCCCAACCAGGACCAAAUAACCGAAUAUCUUGGAAGCGUCUGAUCGUUGGAGUCUAAACAAUAGAAGGAGGUGACCAGGAUGAUGAAGGACCUGGAAAUCAAAGAAGCUGGGUACACAUAC